GGCUACCUGGCGCAAUGGUAGCGCGUUUGGCUUCGAUUGCCGGCGGCUACAACCUGACGGGACGGCACCAAAAGGCUGCAGGUUCGACUCCUGCGGUGGUCA